UGGGAUGCUACAUGUGCAGAGACCAUGGCC
rnacentral:piRNA from 1 species